CUGGUGAGGUAACAGGUGGGCAAUGUGGCCCCAAAGUGGGGGAUAACUCCGAGAAAUCGGAGCUAAUACCGCAUAAGGCGUCAAGGACCUUGGUUCCGUGACGUUAAAGGAGCAAUUCGCUUUGGGAUCGGCCCGCCCCCGAUUAGCUAGUUGGUAAGGUAACGGCUUACCAAGGCAACGAUCGGUAGCUGGUCUGAGAGGAUGGUCAGCCACACUGGAACUGAGAUACGGUCCAG
rnacentral:rRNA from 1 species